UACUAUCAUUGUCACUAUCAAUAUUAAAACAUUGCACUAAACUGUUUCAUAAUUGUGUUUUUAUGUUUCCCCUGACAUCUCUCAGUUCAACCACUGGGGAAGCCCCUGUCUUCCUGUCUGCCUUGUUUUGGUUUUGUUUCAUGUACCUUUCCUGGCAACAGGGUCCAUUUAGUUGACUGGUUACCAUAGAAGCCUGCUUGCUCUGAAGGGUAGUAAGUGUUUUAGGGAAAUCAGCACACUACAGGAAAGGAAAGACUGAAAAACUCUUGCCCAGAUUAUGAGUCAACAGAGCUUUUUUAAGAAAACACUCUGCCUCUUAUGAAAUCCAUCUUCCCAAGCUUUAUUCAAGAGUUUGAAGGCAUUCUGUGAAUAUCUUGGAAAUGACAUCUCUGAAAAGCAGCCUGUUAGCUAACAGAAAUUCUUCACUGCUUGAACAAAAUAAGCAGCACGUGCCACAAGAUGGCCUGGACGACAUGAGGGCUCAUCUCAACUGUGCACUCACACACUGACUUCGAGUUCGUUUAUGAACCUUCUACCCUUUGUUGUAUCUUCCUUGUUGUAUGACUUUUUCUUGUACUUUGCCUUGUGCGAUGCACAAGAAGCCCAGUUAAACCUGUAGUGAAAGUUCAUUAUUGAGUUUGGAAUCCUGAACCUGCUUUAUAAUUAUGUUAAUCUUGCUUUAUGAUUGAAUAAAGCUGACAUUGCAGAAAGACA
rnacentral:lncRNA from 12 species